ACAGUGAGGGUUCACUGGUAGAAUUCUCACCUUCCAUGUGGGAGACCUGGGUUCGAUUCCUGGCCACUGUA
rnacentral:tRNA from 1 species